rnacentral:rRNA from 1 species
UGGGGAAUCUUAGACAAUGGGCGAAAGCCUGAUCUAGCGAUGCCGCGUGAGUGACGAAGGCCCUAGGGUCGUAAAGCUCUUUCGCCAGGGAUGAUAAUGACAGUACCUGGUAAAGAAACCCCGGCUAACUCCGUGCCAGCAGCCGCGGUAAUACGGAGGGGGUUAGCGUUGUUCGGAAUUACUGGGCGUAAAGCGCACGUAGGCGGAUUAGUCAGUCAGAGGUGAAAUCCCAGGGCUCAACCCUGGAACUGCCUUUGAUACUGCUAGUCUUGAGUUCGAGAGAGGUGAGUGGAAUUCCGAGUGUAGAGGUGAAAUUCGUAGAUAUUCGGAGGAACACCAGUGGCGAAGGCGGCUCACUGGCUCGAUACUGACGCUGAGGUGCGAAAGCGUGGGGAGCAAACAGGAUUAGAUACCCCCGUAGUCC